rnacentral:lncRNA from 1 species
GAGUCAAGUAAGCCAUUUCAGAAGAAAGUGAGGUGUAGGAGUGAACUAAGUGCCUGAUCCAAGGAAUGGCCUGUGAUGAAAAGCUGGGUAGGUGACUACAGAAACAUACUGAAAUAUCUUUCAAUGAUUUGAUUAUGUUAAAAAACCAAAAAGCAAAAAAAUAACCCGGGUGUGGUGGUCAUGAAGUAAACCACUGGGCGCGAGGAUGAAGAGUUGAAGGAGAUCGGUUUUAAUUCCAGCAUGCUUGAGGCAGGCAGAGGUAGGCCGAUCUUUUUUGAGUUCAAGGCUAGCCUGGUCUACAAAAUGAUAGUUUCAGGAUAAGCCCAGGUUACAUAGUGAGGCCUUGUCUUUAAAAAUGUUCACAGAGAGGCGUGGCUAUUUAGCAAAUUCCCUGAAUCCAUGCUAACUUAGGUUAUAGACCAUCCUGUUGAAAAGACAAUUCUGAGCAGGUGAACUUAAUAUUGAGAACUCAUCUUGUUGGUGGACAUUGAAUAGCAAGUAGGAAGCUAAAUGAAGAAGUGAUGCUAUUGGAAACUCUAUAGUGCUUGGCUUAGUAGUGAAUACUAGUAAAUUCUGCUAACUUAAUAAAAAAUGGAUUGAAGGAGCUGGAGAGACUGCUCUGUGGUUAACACUUGAUGCUUUCAGAGGGCGUGGGUUCGUUUUCCAGCACCCAUUCUAGAUGGCUCACAAACACCUGUGACUCCAGCUACACGGGAUCUAAAGCACUUUCUGGUCUCUCUUGAAGGACACACACACACACACACACACACCAUACACAAUCUUCACAUACACAGAAAGUAAAUUUUAAAAAACUAGUAGAAGUAUUUAUUACAAGACAAAAAUAUGUAUUUUUAUUAUGUGGGGCCAAAUAUACUGUGGUGCACAAAAAGAUUAGAUGGUGAUUCUGUGGAAUUUGUCCUCUGUUUCCACUUUGACAUGGGCUCUGGGGAUAGAAAUCAAGUCAUCAGUAUUGAAUAUCAAGGGCCUUUAUCUGCUGCAUGAUCUCACUGGCCCAAGAAUAGGUAGUCUUUGGAUUUGUAAAUAAAGUGAGUUUUACAAAACUGCUGUGUAUCUGUAUUUGUAGAAGGAAUGCAUUGAUUAAAAUAAAUGGUUAUAUAGUAUUGAUGGGGCUUUUUAACCAUUUCAUGAUGCUUUCCUGAACAGCAUGUGAGAAGUCACAACAGGGACUGGAGAGAUCUCCCAGCAUUAGCUGCUCUUACACAGGUCAUGGAUUCAAUUCCUAGCUUCCACAUGGUGUCUCACAGGGUCUAUAACUAUAGUCCCAUGGGGUUGUAGUGUGUAGACAUACAUGUAGACAAAAUACCCAUACACAUAAAUAAAUCUUAAAGCAAAGC